rnacentral:rRNA from 1 species
AGAGGUCUCAAGCGUUGUUCGGAUUCAUUGGGCGUAAAGGGUGCGUAGGCGGCGCGGUAAGUCGGGUGUGAAAUCUCGGAGCUUAACUUCGAAACUGCAUUCGAUACUGCCGUGCUUGAGGACUGGAGAGGAGACUGGAAUUUACGGUGUAGCGGUGAAAUGCGUAGAUAUCGUAAGGAAGACCAGUGGCGAAGGCGGGUCUCUGGACAGUUCCUGACGCUGAGGCACGAAGGUCAGGGGAGCAAACGGGAUUAGAUACCCCGGUAGUCCUGACAGUAAACGGUGCACGUUUGGUGUGGGAGGAUUCGACCCCUUCUGCGCCGGAGCUAACGCGUUAAACGUGCCGCCUGGGGAGUACGGUCGCAAGAUUA